rnacentral:ncRNA from 2 species
AACGUAUCAAGAGUGCGGUGAAAGAACUGGCUUUACGACCCGCCGGCAACCUGUCGAAGAUAAGGUGCCCCAUCCAGCCCUCACGGGAAGAUGCUUC